GUUCCAUGGAACCCUUUGGUGUCACAAACUCCCUUGGAUCCUUGGGCCCCACAGUGUCAUAAUGGCACCAUGGUCCCCCAAGGCACUGCAGUGUCACAGUGGAUCCUUGGUUCCAUGGGGUCUGGUAGUGCAGCAAUGCUCUCCUUGGUUCCCACAGUCUUUUAUGCCUCCCACUCUCAGACAAUAGAAGGGCACCUGUAGAUGAAGGGGAGUGGGAGUAGAUACCUACUCAAGAAGGUAAUAAUAAAAAUUCCUCCUGACCCCCACGCCGAGGCAGGUGCCACUUCAGAACAGGUCUUAACUAGAAAGAGGACCUGGAAUGUUAGACUGAAAAAGUGGAAUCUCCUAAUCUCCUGUGAGGAUGGAAGCCCCAGCUCUGCCUGGAGACCAGCGGACAAAGCUGCAUCCUCCUCCUCCUCCUCCGUGCCACUCCUGGGAGCAGAGGCAGCGUGGGUGCGACCUGUCGAUUUCUCCCCACCUGAGCUGAUUCUUUUUAACAAAGGCAUUAAAAAGGAGAAA